rnacentral:rRNA from 1 species
AUUGAACGCUGGCGGCGUGCCUAACACAUGCAAGUCGAGCGGUAACAGGUGUAGCAAUACAUGCUGACGAGCGGCGGACGGGUGAGUAACGCUUGGGAAUCUGCCUAUUAGUGGGGGACAACCCGGGGAAACUCGGGCUAAUACCGCAUACGCUCUACGGAGGAAAGCCGGGGACCGCAAGGCCUGGCGCUAAUAGAUGAGCCCAAGUCGGAUUAGCUAGUUGGUAGGGUAAUGGCCUACCAAGGCGACGAUCCGUAACUGGUCUGAGAGGACGACCAGUCACACCGGAACUGAGACACGGUCCGGACUCCUACGGGAGGCAGCAGUGGGGAAUAUUGGACAAUGGGCGAAAGCCUGAUCCAGCGACGCCGCGUGGGUGAAGAAGGCCUGCGGGUUGUAAAGCCCUUUUCAGUGGGGAAGAAAAGCCUCGACCUGACACGUCGGGGUCUUGACGUAACCCAUAGAAGAAGCACCGGCUAACUCUGUGCCAGCAGCCGCCGCAGUAAC